rnacentral:rRNA from 1 species
GACGAACGCUGGCGGCGUGCUUAACACAUGCAAGUCGAACGGUAAGGCCCUUCGGGGUACACGAGUGGCGAACGGGUGAGUAACACGUGGGUGAUCUGCCCUGCACUUUGGGAUAAGCCUGGGAAACUGGGUCUAAUACCGGAUAGGACCACGGUCUGCAUGGAUUGUGGUGGAAAGCUUUUGCGGUGUGGGAUGGGCCCGCGGCCUAUCAGCUUGUUGGUGGGGUGAUGGCCUACCAAGGCGACGACGGGUAGCCGGCCUGAGAGGGUGUCCGGCCACACUGGGACUGAGAUACGGCCCAGACUCCUACGGGAGGCAGCAGUGGGGAAUAUUGCACAAUGGGCGCAAGCCUGAUGCAGCGACGCCGCGUGGGGGAUGACGGCCUUCGGGUUGUAAACCUCUUUCAGCUCCGACGAAGCGUAAGUGACGGUAGGAGUAGAAGAAGCACCGGCCAACUACGUGCCAGCAGCCGCGGUAAUACGUAGGGUGCGAGCGUUGUCCGGAAUUACUGGGCGUAAAGAGCUCGUAGGUGGUUUGUCGCGUUGUUCGUGAAAACUCACAGCUUAACUGUGGGCGUGCGGGCGAUACGGGCAGACUGGAGUACUGCAGGGGAGACUGGAAUUCCUGGUGUAGCGGUGGAAUGCGCAGAUAUCAGGAGGAACACCGGUGGCGAAGGCGGGUCUCUGGGCAGUAACUGACGCUGAGGAGCGAAAGCGUGGGGAGCGAACAGGAUUAGAUACCCUGGUAGUCCACGCCGUAAACGGUGGGUACUAGGUGUGGGUUUCCUUCCUUGGGAUCCGUGCCGUAGCUAACGCAUUAAGUACCCCGCCUGGGGAGUACGGCCGCAAGGCUAAAACUCAAAGGAAUUGACGGGGGCCCGCACAAGCGGCGGAGCAUGUGGAUUAAUUCGAUGCAACGCGAAGAACCUUACCUGGGUUUGACAUGCACAGGACGCCGGCAGAGAUGUCGGUUCCCUUGUGGCCUGUGUGCAGGUGGUGCAUGGCUGUCGUCAGCUCGUGUCGUGAGAUGUUGGGUUAAGUCCCGCAACGAGCGCAACCCUUGUCCUAUGUUGCCAGCGCGUAAUGGCGGGGACUCGUAGGAGACUGCCGGGGUCAACUCGGAGGAAGGUGGGGAUGACGUCAAGUCAUCAUGCCCCUUAUGUCCAGGGCUUCACACAUGCUACAAUGGCCGGUACAAAGGGCUGCGAUGCCGUGAGGUGGAGCGAAUCCUUUCAAAGCCGGUCUCAGUUCGGAUCGGGGUCUGCAACUCGACCCCGUGAAGUCGGAGUCGCUAGUAAUCGCAGAUCAGCAACGCUGCGGUGAAUACGUUCCCGGGCCUUGCACUCACCGC